AGGUGCCAGACUUAUAGGUGCCGUACUUAAGCAGCGCCAUGAAGUAAUUCUGUACCCGGUGUCAUAUGCGAGCCGCCGACUACAACCACGAGAAGUUGCAUAUUCGGCAAUUGAGCGAGAAGUCCUAGCUCUUACAUGGGCCGUCCAAAAGUUGAAAAUCUACUUGUUUGGACGCACGUUCAUGUUACAGAGCGACCAUAAGCCCCUUGUUUAAAUUAGGUUGGCCAAGCAUAUCAACAGCCGUGAUUUAUGUUGGAGCCUCAUACUUAUGGAGUAUGACUUCUCGGUUGACUAUAUUAAAGGCAGUGAAAAUGUAGGCACAGACUAUAUGAGCCGGUUGCCAAGCCCAUGAAGAGUGGGUCUGCGGAA
rnacentral:lncRNA from 1 species